rnacentral:rRNA from 1 species
UACGUAGGGGGCGAGCGUUGUCCGGAUUUAUUGGGCGUAAAGAGCUCGUAGGCGGUUCGAUAAGUCGGACGUGAAAUCUCCACGCUCAACGUGGAGGGGCCGUUCGAUACUGUCGUGACUCGAGUCCGGUAGGGGAGUGUGGAAUUCCCGGUGUAGCGGUGAAAUGCGCAGAGAUCGGGAGGAACACCCGUAGCGAAGGCGGCCACCUGGGCCGACCCUGACGCUGAGGCGCGAAGGCGUGGGGAGCGAACGGGG